rnacentral:rRNA from 1 species
UACGUAGGUGGCAAGCGUUGUUCGGAAUUACUGGGCGUAAAGCGCGCGUAGGCGGCUCUUCAAGUCAGGCGUGAAAGCCCCGAGCUUAACUCGGGAACUGCGCUUGAUACUGUCGGGCUAGAGUGUGGAAGGGGCGAUUGGAAUUCCGUGUGUAGCGGUGAAAUGCGUAGAUAUACGGAGGAACACCAGGGGCGAAGGCGGAUCGCUGGGCCAACACCGACGCUGAUGCGCGAAAGCUAGGGGAGCAAACGGG